rnacentral:rRNA from 1 species
GAUGAACGCUAGCGGCGUGCUUAACACAUGCCAGUCGAACGGUGAAGCAGAGCUUGCUCUGUGGAUCAGUGGCGAACGGGUGAGUAACACGUGAGCAACCUGCCCCUGACUCUGGGAUAAGCGCUGGAAACGGCGUCUAAUACUGGAUAUGAGCUGCGACCGCAUGGUCAGCAGUUGGAAAGAUUUUUCGGUCUGGGAUGGGCUCACGGCCUAUCAGCUUGUUGGUGAGGUAAUGGCUCACCAAGGCGUCGACGGGUAGCCGGCCUGAGAGGGUGACCGGCCACACUGGGACUGAGACACGGCCCAGACUCCUACGGGAGGCAGCAGUGGGGAAUAUUGCACAAUGGGCGAAAGCCUGAUGCAGCAACGCCGCGUGAGGGAUGACGGCCUUCAGGUUGUAAACCUCUUUUAGCAGGGAAGAAGCGAAAGUGACGGUACCUGCAGAAAAAGCGCCGGCUAACUACGUG